UUACGGCCACAUCACGUUGAAACACUGAUUCUCGUAUGAUCACUGAAGUUAAGCAACGUCGCGCCUGAUCAGUACGUAAAUGGGUGAUCGCUCCGGAAAACCAGGUGUUGUAAG